GACGAAGGGGGCUAGCGUUGUUCGGAAUUACUGGCGUAAAGCGAGUAUAGGUGGUUUGUCCAAGUUGGAUGUGAAAGCCUUGAGCUCAACUCAAGAAAUGCAUUCAGGACUGGGCGGCUAGAGGACCGGAGAGGAUAGUGGAAUUCCCAGUGUAGUGGUGAAAUACGUAGAGAUUGGGAAGAACACCAGUGGCGAAGGCGGCUAUCUGGACGGUUUCUGACACUAAGACUCGAAAGCGUGGGGAGCAAACAGG
rnacentral:rRNA from 1 species